rnacentral:siRNA from 1 species
UUGAGUAUUUCAUGGCAUCA